rnacentral:rRNA from 1 species
UAGGGAAUCUUCCACAAUGGACGAAAGUCUGAUGGAGCAACGCCGCGUGAGUGAAGAAGGUUUUCGGUAUCGUAAAGCUCUGUUGUUGGUGAAGAAGGAUAGAGGCAGUAACUGGUCUUUAUUUGACGGUAAUCAACCAGAAAGUCACGGCUAACUACGUGCCAA